GGCCAAGGAAAAGGGAGGAUAAAUAUGGGUGCGAAGCUAUAAACCAAAAGAAAUAGAGGAGCAAUGAGGAACAAGUGAAAACACAACCAAAUCACACCCAAAACCUCUAAUUCAAUCCUCUUCUUGACUCCAUUAUUCACAAUUUUUUUUUAAAUUUUUCUCAUUUUUUUGUAUUUUCUUUUUCUUUUUUUUUUCUUUUUUUUUUCCAUCUUGUCUUUUUUCUUUU
rnacentral:lncRNA from 1 species